rfam:Pseudozyma brasiliensis GHG001 unplaced genomic scaffold PSETBRA_SCAF5, whole genome shotgun sequence.
UCCGAAUUAGUUUAGUGGCUAUGACGGCGCCUUGUCAUUCAAUUGACUACGUUCUCCGCGCAGAAAUACGGCGCAGACCCGGGUUCAAUUCCCGGAUUCGGAG